UAUUUAGUGGAUCAUUUCGUCAUAGACUAACCACAGAAACUGGUGUGAGGAAAUGCUGCUGCUACUAA
rnacentral:pre_miRNA from 12 species